GUGGGGAAUAUUGGACAAUGGGGGGAACCCUGAUCCAGCCAUGCCGCGUGUGUGAAGAAGGCCUUUUGGUUGUAAAGCACUUUAAGUGGGGAGGAGGCUUACCUGGUUAAUACCUGGGCUAAGUGGACGUUACCCACAGAAUAAGCACCGGCUAACUCUGUGCCAGCAGCCGCGGUAAUACAGAGGGUGCGAGCGUUAAUCGGAUUUACUGGGCGUAAAGCGCGCGUAGGUGGUUAAUUAAGUCAAAUGUGAAAUCCCCGAGCUUAACUUGGGGAUUGCAUUCGAUACUGGGUAGCUAGAGUAUGGGAGAGGAUGGUAGAAUUCCAGGUGUAGCGGUGAAAUGCGUAGAGAUCUGGAGGAAUACCGAUGGCGAAGGCAGCCAUCUGGCCUAAUACUGACACUGAGGUGCGAAAGCAUGGGGAGCAAACAGGAUUAGAUACCCCGGUAGUCC
rnacentral:rRNA from 1 species